UGGGGAAUAUUGCGCAAUGGGGGAAACCCUGACGCAGCAACGCCGCGUGAGUGACGAAGGCCUUUGGGUUGUAAAGCUCUUUCGGCUGGGAAAAAGGGCUAGUGUGUUAAUAGCACAUUAGUUUGAUGGUACCAGAAUAAGAAGCACCGGCUAACUUCGUGCCAGCAGCCGCGGUAAUACGAAGGGUGCAAGCGUUGUUCGGAAUUAUUGGGCGUAAAGGGUUUGUAGGCUGAGAGAUAAGUCAAGUGUGAAAUCCCCGAGCUUAACUUGGGACGUGCAUUUGAAACUGUUUUUCUUGAGUCUUGGAGAGGGUGGUGGAAUUGCUGGUGUAGGAGUGACAUCCGUAGAGAUCAGCAGGAACAUCGGAGGCGAAAGCGACCACCUGGCCAAAGACUGACGC
rnacentral:rRNA from 1 species